CUCUGUCACCCAGGCUGGAGUGCAGUGGUGUGAUCUCAGCUCACUGCAACCUCCACCUGCUGGGUUCAAGCGAUUCUCCUGCCUCAGCCUCCCUAGUAGCUGGGAUUACAGGAAUGCACCACCAUGCUUGGCUAAUUUUUGUAUUUUUAGUACAGAUGGGGUUUCACCAUGUUGGUCAGGCUGGUCUUGAACACCUGACCUCGUGAUCCGCCUGCCUCGGCCUCCCAAAAUGCUGGGAUUACAGGCAUGAGCCACCGUGCCCGGACUCAGGAGAGUUUUAAAAUGAAUCUAGCAGCUAGAAAAAGUAUUAAUGGUGUUUCUCUCACCCUGGCCCAAAUUCAUAUGUUGGAAACUAAACCCCAAUGUGAUAGUAUUAAGAGAUAGGGCCUUUGGGGUGAUUAAGUCAUGAGAACGGGAGGCUGAAGAGAGGUGCCUUGCCCCUUCCCUCAUGUGAGGACACAUAGAAGGCUCCAUCUAUGAGCAACACACGCUUGCCAGACACAGAAUCUGCUGGUGCCUUAAUCCUGGACGUCUCAGCCUCCAGAACUCUGAUCCUGGAGAAACUAAAACCUUCUGCACAGCAAAAGAAACAAUCAACAGACUGAAAAGACAACCUACAGAAUGAGAGAAGGUCUUUGCAAACUAUUCAUCUGACAGGGGAUUAACAUCUAGAAUAUAUGAGGAACUCAAACACCUCAACAGCAAAAAAAGAAACAACCUGAUUUUUAAAAUGGACAAUAAUCUGAAUAGACAUGUCUUAAAAGAAGACACAAAUGGCCAACAAACAUAUAUUAAAAAAAGCUCAACAUCACUAAUCAUCAGAAAACACAAAUCAAAACCACAAUGAGGUAUCAACUCACCUCAGUUAGGAUGGCUAUUAUCAAAAAGACACACUCACAAAAAUGCUGGCAAGGAUGUGGAGAAAGGGAACUCUUAUAUGAUGUUGGUGGGAAUGUAAACUAGUACAUCAACUAUGGAGAACAGUACAGAGGUUCCUCAAAAACCUACAAACAGAACUACCUCAUGACCCAGCAAUCCCACUACUGGUGUUUAUCCAAAGGAAAGGAAAACAGUCAAAGAGACAUCUGCAUCCUGAGUUUAUUGCAGCAUUAUUUGCAAAAGCUAAGAUAUGGGAUCAACCUAGGUGUCUAACACAGAUGACUGGAAAAAGAAAGUGUGGUAUAUAUACACAAUGGAAUACUAUUCAGCUGUAAAAAAGAAUGAAAUCCUGUCAUUUGUGGCAUCAUGGAUGGAACUGAAAGACAUUAUGUUAAGAGAAAUAAGCCAGGUACAGAAAAUUAAACACUGCAUGUUCUCACUCAUGUGGAAGCUCAAAAAAAGAUGAUCUCAUAGAAGUGAAAAGUAGAACAGAGGAUAUUAGAGGCUAGGAAGGGUAGGGGGAAGGGAGAAAUAGGGAGAGAUUGAUUAAAGGAUACAAAAUUACAAGAGAUAGGAGGAAUAUGUUCUAGUGUUCUGGAGCACUGUAGGAUGACUGUAGUUAAUAAUAUAUAGUUUCAAAUAUCGAAUGUUCCCAACACAAAGAAAUGAUAAACUUUUGAGAGAAUGGAUAUGCUGCAUGCUAUUAUGUGACCACUAUACAUUUAAUGUAGCACAUCACUAUGUACCCCAUAAAUAUGUACAAUUCUGAUGUGUUAAUUUAACAAAUGCUGUUACAAAGAUAAAGCCCUGCAUUAUGCAUACCAGGCA